AGUGAACGCUGGCGGUAGGCCUAACACAUGCAAGUCGAACGGCAGCACAGUAAGAGCUUGCUCUUACGGGUGGCGAGUGGCGGACGAGUGAGGAAUACAUCGGAAUCUACUUUUUCGUGGGGGAUAACGUAGGGAAACUUACGCUAAUACCGCAUACGACCUACGGAUGAAAGCAGGGGAUCUUCGGACCUUGCGCGAUUGAAUGAGCCGAUGUCGGAUUAGCUAGUUGGCGGGGUAAAGGCCCACCAAGGCGACGAUCCGUAGCUGGUCUGAGAGGAUGAUCAGCCACACUGGAACUGAGACACGGUCCAGACUCCUACGGGAGGCAGCAGUGGGGAAUAUUGGACAAUGGGCGCAAGCCUGAUCCAGCCAUACCGCGUGGGUGAAGAAGGCCUUCGGGUUGUAAAGCCCUUUUGUUGGGAAAGAAAAGCAGCAGGUUAAUACCCCGCUGUUCUGACGGUACCCAAAGAAUAAGCACCGGCUAACUUCGUG
rnacentral:rRNA from 1 species